AAAAAAAACAACAAGAAGAUAAUAAGUAGGCGGCUAUACUAUAAUAGAGUAGAGCUUAAGAUAUAAGUAGGCCGGUCGAGAGCUUGGUAAGCAAGCUACCUUCUCUUCCAUCUCUGCCCAAGCUACCUUCUCUUCCAUCUCUGCCCCGCUUCCAUGUGGGCAGAGACCCCUGUAGAGAAUGAAGAGGGGCCAACGAUCUUCCUCUCAAUAGUGCUUUUUGGGGCUCCACUCUCUCCCCAAAUUGAUUUCUUAACAAAAAAAUGAUUCUUUUAUCUUAUCUCCUACCAUGUGAAGUUUGAAG
rnacentral:lncRNA from 1 species